rnacentral:tRNA from 1 species
GGGGCUGUAGCUCAGUGGUAGAGUGCUUGUCUAGCAAGCUCCAGGCUGUGGGUUCAACCCCCAGUAGCACCA